GGCACUCAGACAAGGUGCAGGGCACCCAUCAAACUUCCUGCAGUGGAUUUUCCUGACAGCUUCUUCAAAAGGAGCCCAUCUAAUGUAUUAAAAAUAACUGCAUUUGUGUCCGAUCAGCACAGAGAUGCUCAGAAAGCCUCCAGUUAAAACCAGCGGGGUGGAGAUCUGUGUUUUGACAGCUCCAACCCCAAAUACCUUUCAUGCUUCUGCCUGUCAGGAAGAACCACAGAAACCCCGAGGGUCUCCUGGGCAGGCACUGGUCUCUUGGGGCUGCAGAGGCUCAAAACACAGAAAUGUGUCCUCCGUGGCUCUGGAGGCCUGAAAUCAGGGUCCCAGGCCCACACUCCGCGGAGGCUCUAGGGAAGGACCCUUCCUGCCUCCUGCAGCUCCUGGAGGCUCUUGGCAUUCCUUGGCUUGUGGCCGAAUCGCUCCUUUCUCUGCUUCUGUCUCCACGUGGCUUCCCCCUGUGCGUCUCUGUGUCAUCUAAGGAUACUGGUCAUUAGAUUUAGGGCCCACUCCGAUCCAGGAUGAUCUCAUCGCACAGUCCUCAGUUACAUCUGCACACUCUUUUCCCAAAUAAGGUCACACAGGUUCCAAUGGACGUAUCUUUUCGGGGCUACCAAUUACUCCACAACACCACAAUUCAAGGGGAGAGGCAGCAGGCACCAGGCCUCCUCUCCCGGCAGACAAGUGCUCCCCAAGGCACAGGAUGGGGCUCCCUGGCUCCUGGUGGAAAGCAAGCACCAGAGCCCCAGAUAAGUGCAAGGGGAGGAACAGGAAGGGGCUGGAAGGGCUACCCCAGCCCCCAGCCCCAGCUCAAUUGCCUAGAACAGUCCCAAGACCAGCAUCAUUCUGGCCUCCCUGCAAGGGGGAAGGAAGAGGAGCAGGGGUAGGAGUGACCUUUCACAGCCACCCUGGCCUCAUCCUGUGGGGCCUCCAGCCAGGUGAGGCCAUGCGAGACACAGUGGGAAGCGGGAGGCGGGAGGCGAGUGGGCUCGGGGCAUUUGCCACCCUCUGCCGCUGCACUGUCGGCCCCGUCUCCCCCCCGCUGCCUUCCGGUCCCAUCACUGCCCACUCCUCUUGCUCCCUGGGGGAUAAGGUGGAAAGAGGUCCCCUGGAUUCAAGCCUUAGAAUCCUGCAGCCACCCAACCGGCCACCCCAUCUGUCCACGCCUCAUCUGCUGUCCCUGAGCUCAAUGUCUUCCAGCUGCUGGUUGGAGGUGCCAGCUGGUUCCUGCUGGGUCCGUCUGACAGUGGCACAGGGAGGUUCAGGUGGGCACAGACGCCGCCGCCUCAGCUCUGAGUGUUAUUGGUAUCACCCCCCACCUUGAAUCCCAGCAAACCAAGAGGAGGGAGGAGGACGGAGGGAGAGGGAGAAGAAGGGAGGUGGAAGAAGGGGGAGGUUGGAGGAGUGAGGGGGAGGGAGGAGGAGGGAGGCUAGCAGUGCCCAGGAUCACCCAGCCCAGGAAGAGCGUGGAAAGGUGGCCGGCCCUGGCUUGAGGGUGGGGGGACUCUGGGUGGCUCUGCCCUGUACCCUGAAAUCUCUGUACACCAACCUCAUGGGCCAAGAGAUCUGCUGCCCUGUCCCUGCCCUGGGGCUUGACCAGAAUGUCGGGGGCAGCAUUUGGGGUAGAAUAAAAUGGACAUGCUCACCUGCCCUUGGGGUUCGCAGCCUCCACCGGGUCACCGGCAGCUCCAUUCCAGCCCGAGGGGUGAGCAGCCCUUCCGAACCGGUCUCAACCCUUUCUGUGGGGCUGCCAUUGUCCUGAUUCUCUCCCCAAAAUUGUCAGCUGGGAUCACCUUGCAGAAACCCAGUUAAAACCCAAGCACAGGACUCGGAGGAGACAGAUCUCCCAAGAGGCUCCAGCCUCCAAGAGCCGGCAGAUCGGCCUGCGUCUGUCAAUGGAACUGCUGCGACUAUUUGUCCAUAAAUAAAACCUGUUUUCAUUUCUCCUGCCCUCAAGAAACUGCUGCUCUCCGAGACCAGGCCCAGGAGUGUGGGCUGCUUAGAAAGGAAACCCAAGAGGCACCAGCAGGACCUCGCUUAGCACGGCAUCCCCACUGCCUGCCCACCGGUCCCCAGGAGAAUCAGCCAUCCCAGGCAUAGCAGGCUUUAGGAUGCUGAGAUUGCCUGGGCAUGCUGGCUGGUGCCUGUGGCCCCUGCCUGGGAGGCUGAGGCAGGAGAAUCGCUUGAGCCUGGGAGGUCAAGGCCGCAAUGAGUCGUGAUGGCACUACUGCACUCCAGCCUGGACGGCAGAGCAGGAACCUGUCUCAAAAAAAAAAAAAAAUGGUGGGAAUGGCUUCACAACUGUGGAGUGCUUUUCUCAUUUUACUAGGUGAGGAGGAACAGGUCCAUGCUCCCCGAGGCACAGGCACCUAAGACAAGCCUGGCCCCGGCCGCGUUAGUGGAGAAGGCUACAGAUGGCCAAGAUGCUCACAGGACGGGCACUUCCUGCCCAGGAUUCCAAUGUGGCCCCAUCCACACUGGGAUGGUUUUGAGAACCAGGUGACGGCAGGUGCACCUGUCCUCUGAGCCCCAUCUGGAAACUGCUUUGUGGACAACCGUGGCCUUGGAUGAAAGGGGUCCUUGCCAGAGCUUGUGGGGUGCACAGCUGGAGGAGAAGGGUUUCUGCAUCACCUGUUUUCAUUGGUUCCAAGGCUCAAGGCCCUCCUGGAGUCCCCGAGAGACCGCCUCAUCCGCCUGGGAAGCGGGUUGCCUGCAUAAGCCAGGGCAGGACACACCAGCCCCACACAGGAGCCCGUGAGGGCUCCGCACUGCCCCCACCCUGAGCCGGGCUCCUGCAGGCUCCCCGGCCCCACAGACCUGUCACCACGUAGAUGCGCUCUCUCCGGCUCACAGGGCCUGAGGACAGGGUUUCCUCUCCACCCUCAGGGAGCAGCAAGGGCUGGGUGGAAGUGGGGGGUCCCAGCAAGUCCCAGCCCAGAGUGCCAGGAACAGGUGAGCUGGAGUGAGGAGUGAACACUGAAAACACACAGGCUGUCACCGCCUGGGGCCACGGGUUCUGCCCCAGAGAUAGCGCCAGCUGGACUGCCGGCGGGUCUGGAGCCACCUCUGCACCUUGCCCGGCCGCCGGGCUCAGCACCGGUCUAAGGAGAGUCCGCUGUGGUACGGCCGCUGGGCAGUGGCUCUGAGCCCUCCGCCUCCAGCAUCGAGGUGACUGAGGGGAUAGCACAGAGAGGGUGGCUGGACGUGGAUUUCCUGGAGGGGAGGCGGGAGUGCCUGAGCCACAAACAGGUUUCAUCACAAAACCUGUGUCUGGCGUGGUGGCAGGGGGACCUGUGGGCUGAAAGCAGCAGCCCCUGGAUCAGCAAAUGGCCCCGGCCUCAGAACUGCACAGCAGCGGCCACCAGGGCCACAGCCGAGGGCCAGAGUGGGAGAAGAGCAAGGGCAGGCGGGUAUGGGUGCCAUGGCAAGGGUGGGGCCAAGUGGGCAAAGGGACAGACCUGUGUUCCCGGCGCUCCCGGCGUGGGCCGACCCAGCACCUGGGGCCUGCACUCACUCACCUCCUGUCACAGCAGAUGGUGCUGGGGACCCAGCGAGGCCUCAGGGCUGCCCCAGGCCCACGGUGCCUGCAGGGCCAAGGAAGGGCCAGUCUAGGCCCGGCCCCAUCAUCUGGCUCUUUACUCCCCCUCCUGGGGCUCCUUAUGACCACAAGGACGAGCCUUGUGGAUGAGGGGUGUGGACUGGACAGCAGGGAGGGCUUCCUGGAGGAGGGGCUGAGUCGGCUUUGAAGUCAGGGGAAGGGAGUGGUGCACAGGUCCCCCCGAGUCUCCCAGCAUCCGAGCCUUGAUCAACAGGAGGGAGAUGGGUACCUUGGGGUCGGUGCUCUCUCUUUCCCUCCCCGGCUACUCAGCUGGACCCCAGGGUCACCUCCUCCAUGAAGCCCUGUUUCCCCAUCCCUGCGGUCAGUGUGUGCGGCAGCCCCACCCUGAGGAGGGGGUGGAGCUGGGUGGGUGCAGACACUACUGGUGAUGAACAGACAGACGUCCCCGCAGGAGGGGACGGAGCUUCCGUUUCCAGCACCAGCUUCAUUCCCGGGGAUUUUUACUGUUCAGUUUCUAAAAAUGGCAGAAGUUCAUUUCUUAACAUCCCCUUGGCAAGGCUGCUUCCAUUUCGGUGAAAGUGGAGGCCGUUUGUGGUUUUCUCUGCCUGCCGGAGGCUGGGCCACGGUGUCUGCGGAAGACGCUGUGUGCACAGCUGGGCUUUCUUUGUGUGUGCCAGCAUUGCUCAGGAAGGGGAAGGAAAAGGAAACUGAGUCGCGAAGGGCAGGCCAACACCCGGAGGCCAAGCAGGUUUCACGGCAGCCACUUCUGCCAAACGCCAGAGGCACGUCCACCAGGUCACCUGGACAGCCCAGCCAGGUGCCCACCCAGUUUCUGUCACCUGCACCCAGAACCGGCCCUCAGUGGAGUCCUCGCUCCAGACAGAGGGGCUUCAGGACACUGAGAAGGGUCUUGGGGUAGAUUCUUUUCUGAAGGAAGCCGGAGAUGCUGAGUUGGAAAGGGACCCUAAGACUGUCCCCUGACCCCACCCAGCCCUUCCGGCGACACUCAGAAGAAGCUGCUGGCAAGAGCCAAGAGAUGGAUGUCCAGUCCUCGGUCUGUGCACACCUGAGGGGCUCGUGCCCUGCAGGGAGCUAAACCUGAGACUGAAGCUGUAUCCAGACACACUUACUCACGGCAUGUCCCAAAUGCCUGACACCCACAGAUCCACCCAAGUCUGCUUCUCUGCUGUGCCUGCAGCCCCCAGGAGUGGCUAUCUGCAUGGUCAAAGCCACUCCUCCCAACUUGGGGGCUCCGGGAGGAGGGCAGGGUGGGGAGAGAGUAGCUCCCUGGGAGCCCCAGGGUGGCCUGCUCAACACAGGCUCUGUGGCUUCCAGCCCACUGGGGAGAGAUGAGACAAAGGGAGAAUGGAAAGAUCUGGAAUUUCUUUCGUGCAUGGAGCGGGGGCAGUCCUCAGAAGCACAGCCUGAGACAGGGAUUGUGGUGCAGGUGAUGGAUGGAGGGUGGGCCCUCAGGGGAGGAGAGGGAAACACAGGUGACACAGGUGUAGCUCAGAGCCUUAUAGCCUCAGGAAUCUCCCCCAGGGGUGCUUCCAGAAUGCAGACCCCAAGGCUCACCCCAGACCAACUGGAUCAGAAUCUCCAGGGCAGAGACCUAGAACUUGGGGCUAGGGGUUUCUAAUUUUUUUUUUUUUUUUUUUUUUGAGAUGGAGUCUCGCUCUGUCACCCAGGCUGGAGUGCAGUGGCACGAUCUCAGCUCUCCACCUCCCAGAUUCAAGUGAUUCUCCUGCCUCAGCCUUCUGAGUAGCUGGGAUUACAGGAGCCCGCCACCUCCCUCAGCUAAUGUUUUAUAUUUUUGGUAGAGACAGGGUUUCACCAUGUUGUCCAGGCUGGUCUCAAACUCCUGACCUCAAGUGAUCUGCCUGCCUCGGCCUCCCAAAGUGCUGGGAUGACAGGCCUGAGCCACCAUGCCUGGCCAUCUAAAUUGUUAUUAAUAGACUUUAUUUUUUAGAACAGUUGUAGAGAAGCGUUGAGCCCACAGGACAGCGGCUCCAUGGUGUCUCCUGGCCCUCACCUGUUAAUAACAGGUGUCUCCCUGUUAUUAACAUUUUGCAUUAGUGUGGUACAUUGUUACAAUUAAUGAGCCAAUAUUGAUACAUUAUUAAGGAAAGUCUGCAGUUUAUAUUAGGGUUCAUCAGUCUUGUACCUUCUGUGGGUUUGGACAAAUGUGUAAUGUCCUAUAUCUACCAUCCCAGGAUCCUGCAGAAGAGUUUCAUUGCCCGAAAAAAUCCUUGGAGCUCCACCUGUUUAUUCCUCCCUCCCCACAACCCCUGGCACCCACUGAUCCUCUUACUGUCUUUCCAGUUUGUCUUACCCAGAACGUCACACAGCUGGGAUUAUACCGUAUGCAGCCUUUUCAGACCAGCUUCUUUCCCUUCGCAGUAUGUAGUUGAGGUUUCUCCCUGUCUUUUCAUGGCUUGAUAGCUUGUUCUUUUUACGGCUGAAUAAUAUUCCAUUAUCUGGAUGUCCCCCAGCUUGUUUAUUCACUCAGCUAUUGAUGGACAUCUUGGUUUUUGGCAUUUAUGAAGAAGGCUGCUAUAAACAUACAUGUGCAGGUUUCUGUGUGGCUUUCACCCCUUUGGGAGUAGAAAUGCCAAGGAGGGCGAUCGUUGGAACACGUGGUAAGGAUACGUUGAGCUUUGUAGGAAGUUGCCAAAGUGCCUUCCAGCACGGCUGCGCCAUUUUGAAUUCCCAGCAGCCACGGGUGAGGGCGGUUCUGUUGCUCCGCAGCCUUGCCAGCGUUUGGUGUCGUCAGGAUCUUGGUUUUGGUUUUUGUAGCCAUUCUCAUUUGAUCUCAUUGUUUUAAUCGACAUUUCUCUAAUGACAUAUGAUGUGGAGCAUUUUUCUUGUGCUUAUUUUUCCAUUGCUACGUCUUCUUUGAUGAGGUGUCUAUUCAGAUGUUUUGCCCAUUUCUUCAUGUUUGUUUCCUUAUUGUUGAGUUGUAAAAGUUCUUUAUAUAUUUUGGAUAACACUCCUUUAUCAAGUAUUUUGCAAAUAUUUUUUCCUAGGCUGUAUCUUGUCUUCUCAUUCGUUUAACAGUGUCAUUUUUAGAGCGUUUUUGUUUUGUUUUGUUUUUGUUUUUUCUUUUUUGUUUUUGAGACGGAGUUUCGCUCUUGUUGCCCAGGCUGGAGUGUAAUGGCACAAUCUCGGCUCACCACAACCUCCGCCUCCCGGGUUCAAGUGAUUCUCCUGCCUCAGCCUCCCGAGUAGCUGGGAUUACAGGCGUGCACCACCAUGCCCAGCUAAUUUUGUAUUUUUAGUAGAGAUGGGGUUUCUCCAUGUUGGUCAGGCUGGUCUUGAACUCCUGACCUCAGGUGAUCCACCCGCCUUGGCCUCCAAAAGUGCUGGGAUUACAAGUGUGAGCCACCACGCCCAGCCGUGUAAUUUCUUAAUUUUAAUGAAGUCCAGCUUAUUCAUUUUUUUUGUGGAUUAUGCUUUUGAUGUUGCAUCUAAAAACUCAUUGCCAAACCCAAGAUACCUAGAUUUUAUACCCAAGAUACCUAGAUUUUAUUACCUAGAAAUUUUAUUAUCUUGUAUUUUAUAUUAAAUAAAAUGUGUUAUUAUCUAUAAAUUGUAUUAUCUUGCAUUUUAUAUUAAGGUCUGUGAGGCCUUUUGAGUUAAUUAUCCUGAAAGGUAUAAGACCCAUUUUUUUCUACAUGUGGAUGUCAGUUGUUCCAGCACCAUCUGUUGAAAGACAGUCUUUUCAACAUCAAUAACUUUUGCUUCUUUCUCAAAGAUCAUUUGCCCAUGCAUGUGUCCGUCCACUUCUGGGCUCUCUUUUCUGUUCCAUUGGAAUAUUUGUCUGUUCUUUAGCCACGAUUACACUUUACUGGCUGGGUGUGGUGGCUCACGCCUGUAAUCCCAGCACUUUGGGAGGCCGAGGCGGGUGGAUCACUUGAGGUCAGGAGUUCGAGGCCAGUCUGGCCAAUAUAGUGAAACCCCCAUCUCUACUAAAAAUACAAAAAUUAGCCAGGUAUGGUGGCAGGUGCCUGAAAUCCCAAGUACUCAAGAGGCUGAGGCAGGAGAAUCACUUGAACCCAGGAGGCAGAGG
rnacentral:lncRNA from 1 species